UACGGAGGGGGCUAGCGUUGUCCGAAGUUACUGGGCGUAAAGCGCGCGUAGGCGGGUUGGUAAGUCCGCUGUGAAAGCCCGGAGCUCAACUCCGGAGGGUCGGUGGAUACUGCCAGUCUUGAAGGUGCUAGGGGGAGAUGGAAUUACCGGUGUAGCGGUGAAAUGCGUAGAUAUCAGUAGGAACACCAGUGGCGAAGGCGGUCUCCUGGGGCAUUCUUGACGCUGAGGCGCGAAAGCUGGGGGAGCGAACGGG
rnacentral:rRNA from 1 species